rnacentral:lncRNA from 1 species
GUACAAUAGCUAUACUCCGCUUGUGGCUCCUCGAUCUCAAAUUCUCAUGGAGAUCGAGAAGGAAGAAUAUGUGAGGAGGCCCCCACCAAUGUGAGCACCACCGCAUUCUCACAAUCGGAACAGAUACUUUUAGUUCCACCACGACCACGGACACGACAUCGAUGACUGCAUUCAAUUGAAGGAUGAAAUCAAGAACCUCAUUCACAAAGGGUAUCUCGAAAAAUAUAUCCAAGGUCGACGGUCUAAAGUUGCUGUAGAGCAACCCCCACCACCGAUUGUAGAAAUUUCCAAUAGACUGAUUGCAGGGGUGAUUGACAUGAUCACAAACCAA